CCCAACUAUCCCUAUUAAUCAUUACGUCGAUCCUAGAAACCAACAAAAUAGAAUCAAACGUCCUAUUUCAUUAUUCCAUGCUAAUGUAUUCAAGCGUAAGCCUGCUUUAAACACUCUAAUUUUUUCAAAGUAACAGUCCUGAUUCCCCACGACACCAAAUUAAUGACAUCGCGGUUCUUCAGAAGGUAGGAACCAAUAAUGCCAGUGCGUACCGAAGCACGACCAACAAUUUGAUCCCGAAAUUCAACUACGAGCUUUUUAACUGCAACAACUUUAAUAUACGCUAUUGGAGCUGGAAUUACCGCGGCUGCUGGCACCAGACUUGCCCUCCAA
rnacentral:misc_RNA from 2 species